GUAAAACUCAGUUCAUGUAAGCCUGGGCAACAUAGCAAGACCCAUCUUUAAAAAAUAAAACAUAAAAAGAUUAACUGGACGUGGUGGUGCAUAUCUGUGGUUCUGGCUAUUGAGGAGGCUGAGAUGGGAGGAUCACGUGAGCCCAGGAGUUCAAGACUGCAGUGAGCCAUGAUCACUCCACGGCAUUCCAGCCUGGGUAACAAAGCAAGGUCCAGUCUCUAAAAAAAAAAAAAAAAAAAAAGGCGGGGGGUGCCAGGUGUGGUGGUUCACACCUGUAAUCCCAGCACUGUGGGAGACUGAGGCGGGCAGAUCACCUGAGGUCAGGAAUUCAAGACCAGCGUGGCCAACAUGGUGAAACCCCAUCUCUACUAAAAAUACAAAGAACUACGCCUGCCAAGCAUGGUGGCAGUCACCUGUAGUCCCAGCUACUCAGGAGGCUGAGGCAGGAAAAUUGCUUGAACCUGGGAGGUGGAGGUGGCAGUGAACCGAGAUCGUGCCAUUGCACUUCAGCCUGGGCAACAGAGUGAGACUCUGUCUCAAACACAAAAAGUGGAACACGUUAUCAUUGAAAGCUACCACUUGCAUUGUUAAUUCCUUUGAAUUGCAUCAUGAAUUCAAAGCGAUUGGAGGGAACAUUUGUGGCUGUUGGCCCUGGGUUUCCACCAGCCCUGGGCUAGUUAGAGUUUCUACUCAUUCUAAUUCAUGUAUAAUGCUGAGAUGUUCACUUCAGUCAUGAAGACCCUGGGCUCUAGUGGUCCCCAGGCCUGUGGGAGGGAGGCUGGUCUGUGCUGUGAUAUAAGCCUCAGGCUCUGCCCCUCUUUCUCCCAGAGGUCAUUUCUAGAGCUUCCCCAGAGGAUUCAGCAUUAUCCCUCUGUGACAUCUAAUCUCUUGCCUUAGGCAACCUGAUCCUGGGCUAAGUCUCUCCUGGCAGGGGAGCCUCUCACCCGGCCUCUUUCCAAUCCCACAGCACAGACCUUGGCAGUGUGGAGGGAGAGAGCCUGGUUCUUCCGCCCAGCCCUGGGCAGCCUUCUGGUGUCCCAGGAUAGAAGAAAGACUCACAUUUCUUUGCACCAUUGAGCCCAUCACUGCAGCACCAGAGCAUCUGACAUCUGCAAAACAACAUCAUUAGAUGAGACCCAGGGCCUAAGUUAAACAACUUGCCCAAAGUCCGGCACGCUUAGGAGGAGGCACACCUGACUUUUGACUCUACGUCUGCCUACUCCCUGAUCUAUGCUCUUUCUAGAAAGUGGACACUUGCCCAGAUAACACCACUUCUAUCCACUUCUAUCCCUUGGGGAGGCCCUACCCCAUUUCAGCUGGGCUCAGAGCUGGGCAAAUUCAGGCCUAGAGUGGAUUUCAACUCUGCCACCUGCCAAAGGGUAGACCCCAACAUGCCAUGUGUUUCUCCAGUGGGCAUCCUUGGGUUCCCUGGCUCCAUGCUUAGGAGGCUGGGCCCUCCACCUGACUUCUUCAAAGCCCUCCCCAAGAGCCAGCUCCUGCAGAGCCAAGAGCCGUGAGCCGAUCCUCCAAAAACCAGACCCACAGGACAAGAGGCCAGGAGGGAGCGGCCAGCUCUCGGUGAACACAGGUACAGGGCCUUGGCAGGCUCAGCGGUCAGGACGUCCAGGUCUCAUCUCCAGUCUGCCUCUUGCUAGUCACUUGACCUCCCGCAGCCUCAGUUUCCCCAUCUGUAAGAUGAUGACGACACCCUCCAGCUCCUUAGUAAAGGAAUGAUAAAAUGACAGUUCAGCGUCUGUAUUUUAAUACCUGCGUCAUUAUGUAAUCAUUUUGUGAUGCAGCCACCUCUGGCACAGAAAAAGUCACUCUGUGCCUA
rnacentral:lncRNA from 1 species